UACGUAGGGCGCAAGCGUUGUCCGGCCUUAUUGGGCGUAAAGAGCUCGUAGGCGGCUUGUCACGUCGGGUGUGAAAGCCCGGGGCUUAACCCCGGGUCUGCAUUCGAUACGGGCUAGCUAGAGUGUGGUAGGGGAGAUCGGAAUUCCUGGUGUAGCGGUGAAAUGCGCAGAUAUCAGGAGGAACACCGGUGGCGAAGGCGGAUCUCUGGGCCAUUACUGACACUGAGGAGCGAAAGCGUGGGGAGCGAACAGG
rnacentral:rRNA from 1 species